rnacentral:rRNA from 1 species
AUGAAGAUCAGCGCGCUCAUGACCUCUGCGGGCAUCAACAUUGGGAUCUGCGUGCUCCUGUGGUCCCUCUAUUCCGUUCUCAGAAAGCAGCCAGCAUUUGUCAGGGUCUACUUCGGCCGGAGGAUCGCCGAGGAGAAUAGACUGCUCCGAGAGGCCUUCAUCUUGGAGAGGUUUGUUCCAUCCACCGGCUGGAUCGUCAAGGCCCUGCAGUGUACCGAGGAAGAUCUCUUGGCAGCUGCUGGGCUGGAUGCUAUUGCUUUCAACAGAAUACUAGUGUUCAGCAUACGCAUCUUUUCCCUAGCUGCCAUCCUGUGCCUUUUUGGAAUUCUUCCAGUGCAUUAUUUCGGACGAAAGACGCAUCACCUUGAGAUUCCUUCAGAACAAUUGCAUAUGUUCACAGUUCAGAAUGUGGAAGUGCAAUCAAGAUGGCUUUGGGUUCAUUCUUUAGUCCUCUACAUAAUAUCUGGAGUAGCUUGCUUUCUCCUACAUAUUGAGUAUAAGCACAUUGCUAGGCUGAGGCUCCUUCACCUUAAACGCACAACACUAAAUCCAGGCCAAUUUACUGUGCUUGUUCGCGGAAUACCAAAGACAGCAAACGAAUCGUGCAGUAGUGACGUUGAUGAUUUCUUCACCAAGUAUCAUGCAUCAAGUUACCUAUUCCAUCAAGUUGUUUACAAGGCUGGGAAAGUUCAGAAGAUAAUGACUGGUGCGAAGAAGGCAUGUGGAAAGUUGGACCAUUCCACUUCCACAGACACAACUCUAGAUCAGAGCCGCAAAGCAAUUACAUACCCGUGUUGUGUUUGUGGAGCUUCUUCAAAUUCUUUCCAGUUGUUACCGACUGACGAAGUUGCAAAGAACAUAGAUAACGAGGAAUGUGCGGCUGCUUUUGUAUUUUUCAAAACUCGGUAUGGCGCACUUCUUGCUUCACAAGCACUUCAGACUUCGAACCCUACGAAGUGGGUUACCGAUCUAGCUCCAGAGCCAGAUGAUGUGUAUUGGUCAAACAUUUGGCUUCCCUAUAAGCAGCUUUGGAUUCGACGGAUAGCUACGCUUCUAGGUUCUCUUGUUUUUUCGGUCUUAUUUUUGCUACCAGUGACAUUUAUACAAGGUCUGUCCCAGCUUGAUCAGGUGCAUCGGAAGCUUCCUUUUCUUAAUGGGUUAUUAAAGCAGCCAUACAUAAGCCAAAUAAUAACUGGAUACCUUCCAAGUGUCAUACUGCUACUAUUCCUGUACACCGUUUCGCCAAUAAUGAUAUUGUUUUCGACAUUGGAGGGGCCUACAUCUCACAGUGAAAGGAAGAGGAGUGCUUGCUCUAAAGUGCUGUACUUCUUCAUUUGGAAUGUGUUCUUUGUUAAUUUAGCAUCUGGUGCUGUCAUAAGCCAAUUGAAUUCUUCUUCAACCACAAAGGACAUCGCUGUCCAGCUAGCUGGUGUCAUACCUGGGCAGACUACAUUCUUCAUCACCUAUGUUCUGACUUCAGGAUGGGCCAGUUUAUCGUCUGAACUUAUGCAACUCUUUGGUCUGAUCUAUAACUUUAUAAUAAAGUAUGUUCUGAGAAUGAAAGAAGAUACAGCGUUCGUCCCCACGUUUCCGUAUCACACAGAAGUACCAAAAGUUAUGUUGUUUGGCCUGUUGGGCUUCUCAUGCUCUGUACUGGCACCCUUGAUCCUACCUUUUCUGCUAGUCUACUUCUUCCUGGGUUAUGUCGUAUACCGCAAUCAGCUACUCAACGUUUACCGGAUGAGAUAUGACAGUGGUGGUUUGUAUUGGCCAAUUGCACACAACACGGUGAUGUUCUCUCUCGUGCUCACCCAGAUCAUCUGCUUCGGCGUAUUUGGCCUAAAAAAAUCACCAGUAGCUGCAGGCUUCACCAUACCUCCUAUAUUCUUUAUUCUUUCAUUCAAUCAGUACUGCAGAACCCGGUUUCUUCCUCUAUUCAAAACUUUUCCCACACAGGACUUAAUCGACUUGGACAGGGAAGACGAAAGGUCAGGAAGAAUGGAACAUAUUCACCAUGGACUCCGUUCCGCGUAUCGCCAGUUCCCUGAUGAAGAUAUAAAGCUGGAGAAAAUCCUGACCGUCCGGAAUGACGAGGACCAAGAUGAAGGUCGUAGCUCGAGCGAGCCCAACGGAGAACAAACCUGCAAGGAACAAGAGCCCGGAAGGGAUCUGUGUCACCCUACUCUGGAGGGACUCCCUGUUAGCCGUCUGCGGGAUUCCGUGAGAUCCAUCGCUUUCCUCUGGACUGCAAAGAAGAGGUCCGGCGAUAGCGCAUUGAUGAACUAA